rnacentral:rRNA from 1 species
GACGAACGCUGGCGGCGUGCUUAACACAUGCAAGUCGAACGCUGAAGCUCAGCUUUUGUUGGGUGGAUGAGUGGCGAACGGGUGAGUAACACGUGAGUAACCUGCCCCCUUCUUUGGGAUAACGCCCGGAAACGGGUGCUAAUACUGGAUAUUCACUGGUCUUCGCAUGGGGGUUGGUGGAAAGGGUUUUUCUGGUGGGGGAUGGGCUCGCGGCCUAUCAGCUUGUUGGUGGGGUGAUGGCCUAGCAAGGCUUUGACGGGUAGCCGGCCUGAGAGGGUGACCGGUCACAUUGGGACUGAGAUACGGCCCAGACUCCUACGGGAGGCAGCAGUGGGGAAUAUUGCACAAUGGGCGCAAGCCUGAUGCAGCGACGCCGCGUGAGGGAUGGAGGCCUUCGGGUUGUGAACCUCUUUCGCUCAUGGUCAAGCCGCAACAAUGGUUGUGGUGAGGGUAGUGGGUAAAGAAGCGCCGGCUAACUACGUG